rnacentral:rRNA from 1 species
GACGAACGCUGGCGGCGUGCCUAAUACAUGCAAGUAGAACGCUGAAGCGAGGAGCUUACUCUUCUUGGAUGAGUUGCGAACGGGUGAGUAACGCGUAGGUAACCUGCCUUUUAGCGGGGGAUAACUAUUGGAAACGAUAGCUAAUACCGCAUAACAAUGUGUGACACAUGUUAUUUAUUUGAAAGGGGCAAUUGCUCUACCACAAGAUGGACUUGCGUUGUAUUUGCCAGUAGGUGAGGUAAUCGCCCACCUAGGGGAAGGUUCAUAGCCGACCUGAGAGGGGGGUCGGCCACCCUGGGACUGGGAAACCGCCCCAGCUCCCACGGGGAGGAGCCGUAGGGAAUCCUCGGGCAUGGGGCGAAACCUGGACGGACCACGCCGGGUUGGUGAAGAAGGUUUUCGGGUCGUAAAGCUCUGUUGUAAGGCGAGAACGGGUGUGGGAGUGGAAAGUUCACACUGUGACGGUAGCUUACCAGAAAGCGACGGCUAACUACGUG